rnacentral:rRNA from 1 species
AGUUACCAGCACGUUAUGGUGGGCGACUCUAAGGAGACUGCCGGUGGACAAACCGGAGGAAGGUGGGGAUGACGUCAAGUCAUCAUGGCCCUUACGGCCUGGGCUACACACGUGCUACAAUGGUCGGUACAAAGGGUUGCCAAGCCGCGAGGUGGAGCUAAUCCCAUAAAACCGAUCGUAGUCCGGAUCGCAGUCUGCAACUCGACUGCGUGAAGUCGGAAUCGCUAGUAAUCGUGAAUCAGAAUGUCACGGUGAAUACGUUCCCGGGCCUU